GAUGAACGCUGGCGGCGUGCCUAAUACAUGCAAGUCGAGCGAACAGAUAAGGAGCUCGCUCCUUUGACGUUAGCGGCGGACGGGUGAGUAACACGUGGGUAACCUACCUAUAAGACUGGGAUAACUUCGGGAAACCGGAGCUAAUACCGGAUAACAUUUGGAACCGCAUGGUUCUAAAGUGAAAGAUGGUUUUGCUAUCACUUAUAGAUGGACCCGCGCCGUAUUAGCUAGUUGGUAAGGUAACGGCUUACCAAGGCGACGAUACGUAGCCGACCUGAGAGGGUGAUCGGCCACACUGGAACUGAGACACGGUCCAGACUCCUACGGGAGGCAGCAGUAGGGAAUCUUCCGCAAUGGGCGAAAGCCUGACGGAGCAACGCCGCGUGAGUGAUGAAGGGUUUCGGCUCGUAAAACUCUGUUAUUAGGGAAGAACAAACGUGUAAGUAACUGUGCACGUCUUGACGGUGCCUAAUCAGAAAGCCACGGCUAACUACGUG
rnacentral:rRNA from 1 species